CGUUGAAUACGUUCCCGGGGUUUGUACACACCGCCCGUCAAGUCACCCGAAUCGUCUGCACCGAAGUCCGUGGCCAACCGCAAGGAGGGAGCGGCCGAAGGUGCGGGGGGUAAGGGGGACU
rnacentral:rRNA from 1 species